GACGAACGCUGGCGGCGUGCCUAAUACAUGCAAGUCGAACGCAGUGGGGACGGGUGAGUAACACGUGGGUAACCUCCCAUCAGAGGGGAUAACACUUGGAAACAGGUGCUAAAACGAUACUGAUGGAUGGACCAGCGGUGCAUUAGCUAGUUGGUGAGGUAACGGCUCACCAAGGCCACGAGCCAUAGCCGACCUGAGAGGUGGUUCGGCCACACUGGGACUGAGACACGGCCCAGACUCCGACGGUAGUCAGCAGUAGGGAAUCUUCGGCAAUGGACGAAAGUCUGACCGAGCAACUCCGCGUGAGUGAAGAAGGUUUUCGGAUCGUAAAACUCUUUUGUUAGAGAAGCGGUAUCUAACCAGAAAGCCACGGCUAACUACGUGCCAGCAGCCGCGGUAAUAC
rnacentral:rRNA from 1 species